AAGGGAAAGGGAAAGGGAAAAAAAUGGUAAUGGCAGCGACAGAGGAAAGUCCGAGAAGCCCAGAGGCUAAGGUGGGGAUGCAAGUAGAAGAUUUAUGGGAUAUUCAAGAACCGCAGCUCAGUCCUACUGAAAAGCUUAAUGCUUGCUUUGAAAGCAUCCCUGUUUCUGCCUUUCCUCCUGCCCCUUCUCAUCAAGGAAUUGAGAUAAAAUCGGACAGCAGUUUAGCUGAAGCGGUUCAAAUUUUGGCUGAACAUAAGAUCCUCAGUGCGCCUGUGGUGGACGUGGAUGCACCUGAUCAUGCGAGUUGGAUUGAUAGAUACAUUGGUAUUGUUGAGUUUGCUGGCAUUGUUGUUUGGAUUCUUCAUCAGUCGGAACCUCCAUCCCCGAGAAGUCCU
rnacentral:misc_RNA from 1 species